CACCGUUUUUUCAGGUAUCGCGGGCGGUGAGGGUUGAGACGAGACGUGAGAUACGUAGCGGUCGAUAGAGCUUCCGAUCCAGGUUAUUUCGGUUUAGUUAUUACCCCUAUUAUUUCAGUUGUUAUAGCUUAGAUAGUUUAUAUGGUUCAGUAUUUUUUUUUAUUAUUACAUUUGAAAAUAUGGGUUUUCAUGAAUAUAAUAAACUGGUUUGUAAAUUUUGUAAAAUAAAAGGUUUUCUACCCCUCGUGGUAGCGUUUUAAAGAAAGAUAAAAGUUCCUGUGUAGGAACAGUUUUCAAAAGGUUUUCUAUGGAUUUUGCAUCUUAGUAUUUCAAAACUUAUUUCUGUGGUUGGAAACAUUUUAACUGAUAGAUGUGGAUUUAUGUUUAAAUAUUGAAUGUAAAAAUGUGAACCUGUGGUGAAUGGUGUAUGAAUAUAUAACUGUGGUUAUUUGUAUGUUCAUCUGGUUGUGGUUGUAUCAUGUUUGAACUCUUGUACUUGUGCAACGCCGUGCAAAUACAGGGAAGACUCUGUCCGUGUGAACAGUGGAUCUCCUGUAUUUGUGGUGGAUCUGGCAUACCCUGGGGUCAGGUUUUCAAAAAAAAAAAUUUCAGACGCUUUUCCGCUAUGCUUUAAACUAAAAAGGGACCCCGGG
rnacentral:lncRNA from 1 species